rnacentral:rRNA from 4 species
CCCGUCACACCAUGGGAGUGGGUUGCAAAAGAAGUAGGUAGCUUAACCUUCGGGAGGGCGCUUACCACUUUGUGAUUCAUGACUGGGGUGAAGUCGUAACAAGGUAACCGUAGGGGAACCUGCGGUUGGAUCACCUCCUUACCUUAAAGAA